AUUGAACGCUGGCGGCAUGCUUUACACAUGCAAGUCGAACGGCAGCGGGGUGGAGCUUGCUUCUCUGCCGGCGAGUGGCGGACGGGUGAGUCAUACAUCGGAACGUGUCGAGAAGAGGGGGAUAACCACCCGAAAGGGUUGCUAAUACCGCAUAAAUUCUGAGGAAGAGAGCGGGUGAGCUAGGAAUAGGCCUAGCGCUUUUUGAGGCGGCGAUGUCGGAUUAGCUAGUUGGUGGGGUAAAGGCUCACCAAGGCGAAGAUCUGUAGCGGGUCUGAGAGGGUGAUCCGCCACACUGGGACUGAGACACGGCCCAGACUCCUACGGGAGGCAGCAGUGGGGAAUUUUGGACAAAGGGGGCAAACCUGAUCCAGCCAUGCCGCGUGUAUGAAGAAGGCCUUAGGGUUGUAAAGUACUUUUGUUAGGGAAGAAAAGCCAGCUGUGAAUAAUGGCUGAUACUGACGGUACCUAAAGAAUAAGCACCGGCUAACUACGUG
rnacentral:rRNA from 1 species